CAAUAGCGUAUAUUAAAGUUGUUGCAGUUAAAAAGCUCGUAGUUGGAUUUCUGGUGGGAGCGAUCGGUCUGGCGCUUAGCGUGAGUACUUGCAUCGUCUCCGGCCAUCCUUGGGGAGAGUCUGUCUGGCAUUAAGUUGUCGGGCAGAGGAUCCUCAUCGUUUACUGUGAAAAAAUUAGAGUGUUCAAAGCAGGCUUAUGCCGUUGAAUAUAUUAGCAUGGAAUAAUAAGAUAGGACUUUGGUACUAUUUUGUUGGUUUGCGCACCAAAGUAAUGAUUAAUAGGGACAGUUGGGGGGUAUUCGUAUUCCGUUGUCAGAGGUGAAAUUCUUGGAUUUACGGAAGACGAACUACUGCGAAAGCAUUUACCAAGGAUGUUUUCAUUAA
rnacentral:rRNA from 1 species